UACAGAGGGUGCGAGCGUUAAUCGGAAUUACUGGGCGUAAAGCGCACGUAGGCGGCUUGGUAUGUCGGGUGUGAAAUCCCCGGGCUCAACCUGGGAACUGCAUCCGAAACUGCCUUGCUCGAGUAUGGGAGAGGGAAGUGGAAUUUCCGGUGUAGCGGUGAAAUGCGUAGAUAUCGGAAGGAACAUCAGUGGCGAAGGCGGGUCUCUGGGCCGAUACUGACGCUGAGGAGCGAAAGCGUGGGGAGCGAACAGG
rnacentral:rRNA from 1 species